rnacentral:rRNA from 1 species
UUGGCCUUGACAUACUAAGAACUUUCCAGAGAUGGAUUGGUGCCUUCGGGAACUUAGAUACAGGUGCUGCAUGGCUGUCGUCAGCUCGUGUCGUGAGAUGUUGGGUUAAGUCCGCAACGAGCGCAACCCUUUUCCUUAUUUGCCAGCGGGUUAAGCCGGGAACUUUAAGGAUACUGCCAGUGACAAACUGGAGGAAGGCGGGGACGACGUCAAGUCAUCAUGGCCCUUACGGCCAGGGCUACACACGUGCUACAAUGGUCGGUACAAAGGGUUGCUACCUCGCGAGAGGAUGCUAAUCUCAAAAAGCCGAUCGUAGUCCAGAUCGCAGUCUGCAACUAGACUGCGUGAAGUCGGAAUCGCUAGUAAUCGCGGAUCAGAAUGCCGCGGUGAAUACGUUCCCGGGCCUUGUACACACCGCCCGUCACACCAUGGGAGUUUGUUGCACCAGAAGUAGGUAGUCUAACCGCAAGGAGGACGCUUACCACGGUGUGGCCGAUGACUGGGGUGAAGUCGUAACAAGGUAAGCGUAGAUGA